CAUUCUAGGUUCAACCUUCUUCCUUUAAAUCUCUCGAUCUCUACCAUGUGUCUCAGUAGGAGCUGAUCCCAAGCAACCUUCUAAAUAAAAAAUCUCAUCCUGGGAUGAGCAGCCACUCUCCAAAUCUAGGCUGUCUCGAUCCUCCUACUCAUCGUAGGCCAGCACAUCUCGGACAAGUCCCUUGUGAGAACCUUAGGGCAGUGUAAUCAGCCCCACAUCCUCAAAUCCUUGCUAUGGUGGAUAGAAAUCGAGAUGGCGAGGAUCCGAUCAAUGAGCAAGC
rnacentral:lncRNA from 1 species